rnacentral:rRNA from 1 species
GUGGGGAAUAUUGGACAAUGGGCGAAAGCCUGAUCCAGCCAUGCCGCGUGUGUGAAGAAGGCCUUCGGGUUGUAAAGCACUUUAAGCGAGGAGGAAAGGUUGAAGGUUAAUACCCUUUAGCUGUGACGUUACUCGCAGAAUAAGCACCGGCAAACUUCGUGCCAGCAGCCGCGGUAAUACGAAGGGUGCAAGCGUUAAUCGGAAUUAAUGGGCGUAAAGCGCGCGUAGGUGGUUAAGUAAGCGAUCUGUGAAAGACCCGGGCUCAACCUGGGAAUUGCAGGUCGAACUGCUUGGCUAGAGUAUGGUAGAGGGGUGUGGAAUUCCAGGUGUAGCGGUGAAAUGCGUAGAUAUCUGGAGGAACAUCAGUGGCGAAGGCGACUUUCUGGACGAUGUCUGACGCUGAGGCGCGAAAGCUAGGGGAGCGAACGGGAUUAGAUACCCUAGUAGUCC